GCAUAUCAAUAAGCGGAGGAAAAGAAACCAACAGGGAUUGCCCUAGUAACGGCGAGUGAAGCGGCAACAGCUCAAAUUUGAAAUCUGGCGUCUUUGGCGUCCGAGUUGUAAUUUGCAGAGGGCGCUUUGGCAUUGGCAGCGGUCCAAGUUCCUUGGAACAGGACGUCACAGAGGGUGAGAAUCCCGUACGUGGUCGCUAGCCUUUACCGUGUAAAGCCCCUUCGACGAGUCGAGUUGUUUGGGAAUGCAGCUCUAAAUGGGAGGUAAAUUUCUUCUAAAGCUAAAUACUGGCCAGAGACCGAUAGCGCACAAGUAGAGUGAUCGAAAGAUGAAAAGCACUUUGGAAAGAGAGUUAAAAAGCACGUGAAAUUGUUGAAAGGGAAGCGCUUGCAGCCAGACUUGCCUGUAGUUGCUCAUCCGGGUUUUUACCCGGUGCACUCUUCUAUAGGCAGGCCAGCAUCAGUUUGGGCGGUUGGAUAAAGGUCUCUGUCACGUACCUCCUCUCGGGGAGAACUUAUAGGGGAGACGUAAUGCAACCAGCCUGGACUGAGGUCCGCG
rnacentral:rRNA from 1 species